rnacentral:rRNA from 1 species
UACGAAGGGGGCUAGCGUUGCUCGGAAUCACUGGGCGUAAAGGGUGCGUAGGCGGGUCUUUAAGUCAGGGGUGAAAUCCUGGAGCCCAACUCCAGAACUGCCUUUGAUACUGAGGAUCUUGAGUCCGGGAGAGGUGAGUGGAACUGCGAGUGUAGAGGUGAAAUUCGUAGAUAUUCGCAAGAACACCAGUGGCGAAGGCGGCUCACUGGCCCGGUACUGACGCUGAGGCACGAAAGCGUGGGGAGCAAACAGG